rnacentral:rRNA from 1 species
GGCAUCGACUGAUCGGGCUCGG